rnacentral:lncRNA from 1 species
CCUUAGGUAGCUGAUGGAUGAGCACGACGAGGCGGCGAGGUUGCUGGGCAUAGCAAGGUGGCGACCGACGUCCUUGAUGGGCAUGGGCUGCACGACGAGGUGGUGUGGUGAGGUGGCGUGGUGAGGCAACGACCGAUGAGGUUGAUGGAAAUGGCUGGGUGUUCGAAGGGGGGAGGCGGGGGCGAUGGUCCGAUGGCUCGAGGAGGUAGUCUGAUGGCUCAGACAGGCAGGUCGAUGCCUCGGGGCUCG